UCCAAGGUCUUCCUGACUCCAAGUUAGUAGUCUAUCCGCAUCUCACAUUCACUUGUAAAUUCACUAGAGAAGCGUAUGUUACAGAAGAAAACUGAGGCCUAGAAUACUGACAGAUUAAGCUACUUGCCCAGGAUUACACAGCCAAUAUGGGUCAGAGAACAGAAGGAUAAACCACAAACUCAUCAGACCUUCUGGCUCAGUAGAAAACAAUGUAUCCAGUGGAGAGCAGACACACAUUCUCCAGAGAGUCAACCUGACACAACCUGAGAGUCAAGUCAAGUCAAGAAACUAAAGCUAGGAAGUAGUUUCCAGAAGUGUACCUCUGACAACAAAGAGGAAAACUUACUAUGGAAUCAAGUAAGAACUAGUCCUGGUCAUCUAAAGGAAAGAUCUGGAGAGGAACAGACUUUGGGAGCCCAGCUGAAUAAGCUAACAAGAAGAGAUGCUAUAUCCAGGAAUUAACAAUGAGAAGACACAACAGACAAUAUCAACAUCUGGCAGUAACAGAUGUUUGAGCUGUGUACCACAUGUUUUCCCUCUAUGGACCUCAUUACCAUUGGACUCUCACUGUGUGCCCCCUUUUUCUCCCAUAAAUAGUAUGUCUAUUUUGGAAGAGAAUG